CUUGGAAAGGACUCCAGAAGAUGCGUCUUGUCUUACUGAUCUGCCUCCUGACAGGAACCACUGGGAAAAGCUGCCUCCGCUGCUGGCCAGAGCUGUUCCCCCUGAUAGACUAUGACCUGCAGGUGCUCUGGGGCAGCCCAGGGCCCCCCACAGAACUCUCACAAAGCAUACACUCCUUUUUCAUGGAGAAUAACACCUUACUCUUGCCCUGGCAUCUUGCUCAAGACAAUUUGGAUGAGGAAACAGCUACAUUCUUCACCCACGUAGACAACGCCAUUAAAAAGCUGAAGGAUGAUAAGCCAGCACUGCUUGAAGAGAUUCGUAUUCAGAAGAUCUCCCUGGCUAAGAGGCUGAAGGAGAGGUCCGAGGACCUGAUGCAGAAGGCUCUGCCGCCUCUCUAG
rnacentral:lncRNA from 1 species